UGAAAAUUCAAGGAAACAAGUGAAAAAAAGGUGGUGAGUCCUCCGAUAAAGGCAAGGAAAUUGCAUCCGAGGACCAGUAGUCAGAGUACUUCGAAAAUUCGUACACUAGACAUUGGGGCGAGUUUUCUGUGGACCAGCCUAUUAGAGGGGCACCUAAUCCUGAUAUAUUUUACCUCUGUUGGAAAAGUGAGUAGGGUAACUCUCGAGGUAUGACCUUAGAGUUCACUUCACGUCAAACCACCUCGUGAUGAUGAACUCAGCC